rfam:Ictidomys tridecemlineatus contig019892, whole genome shotgun sequence.
GGGAAUGUAGCUUAGUGUUAGAGUGCUUGCAUAUCACACAAGAAUCCCUGGGCUCAAUCCCCAGUAUUCCCC